UGGGGAAUAUUGCGCAAUGGGCGAAAGCCUGACGCAGCGACGCCGCGUGAGGGAUGAAGGUUUUCGGAUCGUAAACCUCUGUCAGAAGGGAAGAAACCGCACUGUGCUAAUCAGCAGUGCCUUGACGGUACCUUCAAAGGAAGCACCGGCUAACUCCGUGCCAGCAGCCGCGGUAAUACGGAGGGUGCAAGCGUUAAUCGGAAUUACUGGGCGUAAAGCGCACGUAGGCUGCUUUGUAAGUCAGGGGUGAAAUCCCACGGCUCAACCGUGGAACUGCCUUUGAUAGUGCUUAGCUUGAAUCCGGGAGAGGGUGGCGGAAUUCCAGGUGUAGGAGUGAAAUCCGUAGAUAUCUGGAGGAACAUCAGUGGCGAAGGCGGCCACCUGGAACGGUAUUGACGCUGAGGUGCGAAAGCGUGGGGAGCAAACAGG
rnacentral:rRNA from 1 species